AUUGAACGCUGGCGGCAGGCCUAACACAUGCAAGUCGAGCGGAUGAGGAGAGCUUGCUCUCUGAUUCAGCGGCGGACGGGUGAGUAAUGCCUAGGAAUCUGCCUGGUAGUGGGGGACAACGUUUCGAAAGGAACGCUAAUACCGCAUACGUCCUACGGGAGAAAGCAGGGGACCUUCGGGCCUUGCGCUAUCAGAUGAGCCUAGGUCGGAUUAGCUAGUUGGUGGGGUAAAGGCUCACCAAGGCGACGAUCCGUAACUGGUCUGAGAGGAUGAUCAGUCACACUGGACCUGAGACACGGUCCAGGGUCCUACGGGAGGCAGCAGUGGGGAAUAUUGGACAAUGGGCGAAAGCCUGAUCCAGCCAUGCAGCGUGUGUGAAGAAGGUCUUCGGAUUGUAAAGCACUUUAAGUUGGGAGGAAGGGCAGUAAGUUAAUACCUUGCUGUUUUGACGUUACCGACAGAAUAAGCACCGGCUAACUUCGUGCCAGCCGCCGCCGUAAAAC
rnacentral:rRNA from 1 species